rnacentral:rRNA from 1 species
GACGAACGCUGGCGGCGUGCCUAAUACAUGCAAGUCGAACGAACUCUGGUAUUGAUUGGUGCUUGCAUCAUGAUUUACAUUUGAGUGAGUGGCGAACUGGUGAGUAACACGUGGGAAACCUGCCCAGAAGCGGGGGAUAACACCUGGAAACAGAUGCUAAUACCGCAUAACAACUUGGACCGCAUGGUCCGAGUUUGAAAGAUGGCUUCGGCUAUCACUUUUGGAUGGUCCCGCGGCGUAUUAGCUAGAUGGUGGGGUAACGGCUCACCAUGGCAAUGAUACGUAGCCGACCUGAGAGGGUAAUCGGCCACAUUGGGACUGAGACACGGCCCAAACUCCUACGGGAGGCAGCAGUAGGGAAUCUUCCACAAUGGACGAAAGUCUGAUGGAGCAACGCCGCGUGAGUGAAGAAGGGUUUCGGCUCGUAAAACUCUGUUGUUAAAGAAGAACAUAUCUGAGAGUAACUGUUCAGGUAUUGACGGUAUUUAACCAGAAAGCCACGGCUAACUACGUGCCAGCAGCCGCGGUAAUACGUAGGUGGCAAGCGUUGUCCGGAUUUAUUGGGCGUAAAGCGAGCGCAGGCGGUUUUUUAAGUCUGAUGUGAAAGCCUUCGGCUCAACCGAAGAAGUGCAUCGGAAACUGGGAAACUUGAGUGCAGAAGAGGACAGUGGAACUCCAUGUGUAGCGGUGAAAUGCGUAGAUAUAUGGAAGAACACCAGUGGCGAAGGCGGCUGUCUGGUCUGUAACUGACGCUGAGGCUCGAAAGUAUGGGUAGCAAACAGGAUUAGAUACCCUGGUAGUCCAUACCGUAAACGAUGAAUGCUAAGUGUUGGAGGGUUUCCGCCCUUCAGUGCUGCAGCUAACGCAUUAAGCAUUCCGCCUGGGGAGUACGGCCGCAAGGCUGAAACUCAGAGGAAUUGACGGGGGCCCGCACAAGCGGUGGAGCAUGUGGUUUAAUUCGAAGCUACGCGAAGAACCUUACCAGGUCUUGACAUACUAUGCAAAUCUAAGAGAUUAGACGUUCCCUUUGGGGACAUGGAUACAGGUGGUGCAUGGUUGUCGUCAGCUCGUGUCGUGAGAUGUUGGGUUAAGUCCCGCAACGAGCGCAACCCUUAUUAUCAGUUGCCAGCAUUAAGUUGGGCACUCUGGUGAGACUGCCGGUGACAAACCGGAGGAAGGUGGGGAUGACGUCAAAUCAUCAUGCCCCUUAUGACCUGGGCUACACACGUGCUACAAUGGAUGGUACAACGAGUUGCGAACUCGCGAGAGUAAGCUAAUCUCUUAAAGCCAUUCUCAGUUCGGAUUGUAGGCUGCAACUCGCCUACAUGAAGUCGGAAUCGCUAAUAAUCGCGGAUCAGCAUGCCGCGAUGAAUACGUUCCCGGGCCUUGUACACACCGCCCGUCACACCAUGAGAGUUUGUAACACCCAAAGUCGGUGGGGUAACCUUUUAGGAACCAGCCGCCUAAGGUGGGACAGAUGAUUAGGGUG